rnacentral:lncRNA from 1 species
AAAAAAUGCAAUGAGCUUACUCCAAAACCACUCAAUGUAAUAUUUACAUGAUAUUUAUAACUAAAAAAUCAAUUAUUUGCAAUGUGCAUAUCAUGCUACUAUGUUAAAGGAAAAUCUAAACUGUCACGGUUUACACCAUGCAAGCAAACGACGAUAACCGUCCAAAAGUCAUAGCUAAUGAAACUUUAUAGCAGCCCUACCAUUAAAAUAUGCAGCAAAAACAAAAGUGUUGGCUUUUAAUGAAAAGAACUUAAAUUUUUAAAGCACAAAAUUUCAACAUUGUCAAAAUUAUGGAUAACAUUACAAGCAUAAAAAUAUCCUGUAAGCUAUACACUUAGUUCAACAUAUCAGUUAAACAAGUGGGAACAACAAUCACUUAAUCAUCUUGUAAAAAUAGAGUUAACAGAAUCAACCAAAGAGAACUAU